rfam:Poecilia formosa, whole genome shotgun sequence.
ACAGUGGCCCUAUUUAGGGCCACCUGAUUUUACUCUCAAGCUGUCU